UCCGGCUUUCACCGGCUGUCUCGCCAGAGUGCCCACCCGAGGUGCUGGCAACUGACGAUAAGGGUUGCGCUCGUUGCGGGACUGAACCCAACAUCUCACGACACGAGCUGACGACAACCAUGCACCACCUGUCACCGCUGCCCCGAAGGGAAGGAUGAUCUCUCAUCCGGUCAGCGGGAUGUCAAGCCCUGGUAAGGUUCUUCGCGUUGCUUCGAAUUAAACCACAUGCUCCACCGCUUGUGCGGGCCCCCGUCAAUUCCUUUGAGUUUCAGCCUUGCGGCCGUACUCCCCAGGCGGAGUGCUUAUUGGGUUACCUUCGGCACUGAGGGCGUAACGCCCCCAACACCUAGCACUCAUCGUUUACGGCGUGGACUAC
rnacentral:misc_RNA from 1 species